GAUAGUCAGCCAUUUUGGCAGUGAACGCCAAGCUGUUAGCAGCACAAGAGGUAAAUAAUUUUCUUCUUUAUUUUCUUUUACUAAUUUGCGAUGAUUGUUUCAGGAAGAUGGAUAGCAAAUAGUAACUGUGAAGACCAUGAAGAUAUCUGUCAACUUGAGAAUUCAAUGGGAUCUUAGGUUUGUGCGAGAUUCAGGGGGGACCAAGUGAGGAAGAAGAAAAAAGCGUGUGGAAGAAUGCGGCGUUUUCAGGAAAAAACAUUUGGAAAUUCCAGAUGCUGGAGCCCUCUCCAAGUGUUCAUUCGACCAGUUCAUUGGAGACGUAAUCCUCCUGAAACAUCAUCUGACGAAGUGGACGGAAGAGAAUGCGAUGAUGAUGGACUUUAACUCUGAAAAAUCAAACGUCAUCGGUGAUAGUGCAUCUUUUACAAACAAUUUUGCUCGGAUUGUCUUGUCACUAAGCUCUUGUACAUCAUAGUCCAAAGAUAAGGCCAAUAAGCGGCUAUUGAAGAAAAUGUAUGAUCCCCUUACAACAAAAGGCUCACAAGAUUGUAUCCUGUUUCUCUUGCUCAAGGCUUUGAUUCUCCUAGACCGUGAGAGUGGUAAUAAGAUAUCAAUAAUUUAAGACGCGGUUACUGGUUAUACUCUUAAAAUUAUGAAAAAUAAAACUUAAUUUCAUUCUGCAUAAUGACUUAUUUCUAUUCUUCUUUAUUCUUGAAAUUAAUCUUCUGCAGUCUUAAAUUUAAUCUGAUAGCUUCUUAAAAAAAAGAUUUAAAGUUAUUCGAAAAAAAUCUUAUUUUCAGUUCCGACUUGAUUUUAUUCUUUAUAGGACUAAUAUUAAGAAUAAAAAAAUCUUAAUAUUUUUUAAGCCCUAAAAAGACUAGAAAUUAUGAAGAAAAGAAUAAAUUUUAAUCUUUUUUUUCUCUCAGUG